rnacentral:rRNA from 1 species
CAGUCGCCGCGGGAAUACGAAGGGUGCAAGCGUUACUCGGAAUUACUGGGCGUAAAGCGUGCGUAGGUGGUGGUUUAAGUCCGUUGUGAAAGCCCUGGGCUCAACCUGGGAAUUGCAGUGGAUACUGGGUCGCUAGAGUGUGGUAGAGGAUAGUGGAAUUUCCGGUGUAGCAGUGAAAUGCGUAGAGAUCGGAAGGAACAUCUGUGGCGAAGGCGACUAUCUGGGCCAACACUGACACUGAGGCACGAAAGCGUGGGGAGCAAACAGGAUUAGAUACCCGCGUAGUCCCUGUCUCUUAUAU